GGAGUGAGACUGCGGGCGACAAGGUCCGUAGUCGAGAGGGAAACAGCCCGGUCCGCCGGCCAAGGCCCCAAAGCCAUGCUGAGUGUGAAAUGAGGUGCGGAUGCGCAGACAGCCAGGAGGUUGGCUCAGAAGCAGCCAUUCCUUGAAAGAGUGCGUAACAGCUCACUGGUCGAGCAUCCGCGCGCAGACAAUGUAGCGGGGCUAAGCAUGGCGCCGAAGCCGCGGAUUCGCGCCUUAUGGCGCGACUGGUAGGGGAGCAUUCCGCUGACCCAUGAAGGCGCGCCCGCGAGGGGCGCUGGAGGAGGCGGAAGAGAGAAUGCAGGCAUAAGUAACGAAAAGACGGGUGCGAUCCCCGUCCGCCGGAAGCCCGAGGUUUCCAGGGUAAAGGCAAUCUGCCCUGGGUAAGCCGGCCCCUAAGGCGAGGGCGAAAGCCGUAGCCGAUGGGAAAUCGGUCCAUAGUCCGAUGCUUCCCCAUGUUUCGAGGGCAGGACGCAUGAGGCGAGGCCAGGCCGGAGAACGGUAGUUCCGGCCGGAGCGGCGAGGCGUCGAGGGCGGCAGGCAAAUCCACCGCCCGAGCCGAGCCGUGAGCGAGCGGAGAGAAAGUCGAAGCGAAGCUGGCGUAGCCAUGGUGCCGGGAAAUACUGUCUAAGGCCAGGCAUGGGGGAACCGUACCGCAAACCGACACAGGUGGGCAGGAUGAGAAAUCCGAGGCGCACGAGCGACCUCGCGUUAAGGAACUCGGCAAAAUGCGCACGUAACUUCGGGAGAAGUGCGGCUCAUGUUAGAGAUGAUAAUGAGCGGCAGAAAGCAGGCCCAGGCGACUGUUUAUCAAAAACACAGCCAUCUGCGAACCAGCGAUG
rnacentral:rRNA from 1 species